CUACGCUAGUGCUGCCAAGAUCAGUUUCUACAUCAAAGGGAGGAAGGAGACAUUUUUCUUCAAGAACAAGACUACACAAAUUCUAGAUCAAUCCACACGUAAAUCAAGGAAGAGGACCAACAGGAGGAACAGGAACAAGCAAGUGUGGACCGAGUCAGCUAAGAUGGUCACUGUAGUUCAUGGAGGCCAAGAUCACCAACUUAAGUCACCGUUUUUGACCAAGAAGGACGACCCAGGAAUGCCAAGCAUCAACUGCUCCAUAAAUGGAUACAACUUCUACAAGACGACUUGCGACACCGGAUCGGGCGUCAACAUAAUGGCCGCAGUCACCUAUCGGCUCUUGUUUGGGACCAUGCCACUAAGACCAACAUACAUUCAGCUCUAGAUGGCAGAUCAGAUAUUUCGAGAAAUUAAAGGAAUAGUAACUGAUGUCCCAGUCAAAAUAGACGAUCAUUUUGUCUACACAGACUUUCAAGUUAUUGACAUGGGAGAAGACGAGUAUGAUCCACCCAUCAUCCUUGGAAGACCAUUCCUCAGCACCGUUAAAGCAAUUAUCUACAUUGGUACUGAAGAAGUCCAUAUGCACUUCCCCUCAGAGAAGGUACGCCAUUAUUUUACUGACCCUAACUAUAUUGUUGAAGAAUCUAAGCAGGUCAGAAAGAGACGCAACCGCAACCAGAGGAGGCAGAUCAUCAGGGACGGAUGGGCAGACUAUGAAGGAGAAGUUGUAAGGUCAGAAGACGUAGAGUUUAAACAGAAUUAUCCUGAGGAGACGGAAGCACCAAGUCAGGUGUGGAAAAUGAAGAUAACUAUACAAGAAGAGGAGGCGCUGCCGGAAAUACCGACUUCGCCACCCAACGAACCUCAGGACGAUUAAGAAAAUGGAGAGUCCCGUUCGGAGGACUUAAAAAACACCGAACGCCUUGCCAAGAGGUAACUUGGUAGUUAUCAUUUCCCUUUCAAUUAUUUCAAAUAGUUUAUUUAGUUAAUCAUGUUCAUGCUAUCUUGAAAAGAAAAUAAAAAAAAUGUGUGAAAAACAGUAAGCCCCAUGUGAGUAUACGAGUGGCAUAAAACCCAUAAGUACAUUCACUGUGGUGGCAUAAAAAUAAAAUAAUUAUUUUUCUGCUCUAUAAAAAUAAAAAUAUAAAAACAGGGAGUAAUAUUUAUUAAGGAGUCUCAACAUGAUAAAGGCUAGAUAUUUAUGCUAACACUUAAUCAGUUCCACAAGCUUUGUUGUCUAUUUGAGCUCCACAGAAUUUAAGAAUCAAGAAGACUGGCAGACGGAGGACAUUCUAAUCGCUGUCAGAAUGCUACUGACUUUCAAAUACACCUCUGCCACCUGCUACCUACAUCAAAAGAAAUUACGUCAAAAUUCAGCUUUGGGGAGAGCACCCCCAUUUAUCUCGAUAAGUAUUUCUAUCUAUCUUUAUACUUAUAUUAUUUUAGAAUAUAAAUACACAUAAACUAUGGAAAACCAAAUAAAGAGUUUGUGCUUAUAUAUAUAUAUAUAUGUCUUUUGCUUAGUGUGUUUAAUAAAUAAAUAAAGUGGCUAUGCUAAUCUGUAUCUAAAUAAAACUUAAGCAUGGAUAUGAUGAAUAGUUGCUCUGCUUAAUUUGCACAUUUUAAGUUCUCUCUCAAGUUUAGACAUAACAGUUAUAAUUUGAAACUUUCUCUAGACCUAAACUUGUGGGAUGAAAACUUGAACUAAAGUCUAAGUUGUUAACGGAUACGAUAUGGGAAGGUUGAGCUGCUGUUUAUCUGUUCCUAGAGAUGCUAGAAUUCUGGAGAAUUUUAUCUUUAAAAAUCUUUAAAAUGUUGCAUGAUGAGUUCCUGUAUGAUGAGAGUUUAAAUUCCUACCACAGCCAUAUAUACAUGCUUGCUAGACUUUAAGCCACACAUUUAAUAUUUACUACUUAUGAGCAUUGAGUUGGUCAAGCUGUGUAGACCCUUAGGAGCUUGUCAUGUGGUUAAAUCAAGAUUCACUUGCACGUUCACUCAUAUAUGCUACUUCUACUCCGGAAGUACCAUCCACAUAUAUACAUCCAUUUCCAUCUCUAGAAUCACCCAAAAAUAUUCUCCUCCUAAUUCGGGAGAGAAUAGCCAAAAAUAUUCCUGUUUUUCCCUUGUGAAAUAAAUGCUCAAGUUAUCUUGUUACUACCACUUGCUAUAUUAUCUCAAGAGAUGAGUGCUCUAAAAAAAUAUAUAUGAGGAAAUAAAAAGGAGCAAGUGCUCGGAACCUCGAAAUAAAAGAAAAAGUGAGACGAGAGGUAAAAAUGGACAAGUGUCCGACAGUAGAAUUAGGGGUACAAGAUACCCACCUGAGAGAAAAGAAAAUGAAGAGCAUCUCAUUCUCCUCACAAAGUUUCAAAAAGCAAGGAAGGUAUGUAUUCCCUCAAAGAGCAAAAGUAGAAUUAGACUUCCACCACCAUUGUUAUCACCAUCAUCACCAUAUACCAUUCAUUCGCCACACAUGCACAUCUUGAUUAAACUUAUUGAUUUGUUUCUUUGGAUCCAUGGUUUGACUAUGCAAUAAAUGUCUUGUAAGUAUGUAUACUUUAUCUCCCACCUAUGAGCUCAAGAUAUAAAAGCCUUAUUAGAGUAGGGUGAGAGAGCAGACAAUGUCACUAUGCUUUAUACCACAAUGUACACAUAUCUUGAGAGAAGGCAUAUACCAUCACUGCAUUGGUAAGGAUCCAGAAAUACCACAAAAGAGAGAUCUGAGAGAAUCAUACAAGGAAUCUUUGAGUUUUAUUUGAAAAUCUGCAAAAACCCCAGAGCUAUAGCUGAUCAAGAAUAAGAGACAUGGCACUUGGCUAGACUGUUCUAUCUUUUAACUACUCAAGACAGAAGUGACGGUUACAAGUCCCAUGGUGAAAGGUAAAGUAAGUAAGUUUUAAGUCUUGACAGUUUACUCUAACUCAGAGAUGAGAUCUUAUUUAAAAAGCAUGUGUACCGUCAAUUUUUAAAUAUUGUAACAACUUAUGAUCCAUAGCUGAGUCUGUCCUUGCUCAGGGACGAGCAAGAGGUAAGCUUGGGGGAGUUUGUUGACGGUCCUUAAGUAUCAAAUUUAAUUAUCAAAUAAAUAAAGAAAAGGAUCCAAAUGAAAUCAACAUCUAGACUUAGGGUUUUAUCUGAUAGAAUUCCACGAGUUUUGGUGUUUGUCUAUUUCUGUAGGGGGUUAUCAGGAAAUACGGAAGAAAGGCCCACACGUCGGGAUUACAUAGAGAUAUUAACGUGCCGCGCAAUUAUCUUACAUCUAGAAGACUCCAGAAGCCACGAGACCGAAGCGGAGGCGAAACGGGGCCAGAGGCAGGGCGCCCGCCCUCCUGCCCCGGGUGCCCGCCCCCUCUGGGAGUCUAAUCAGGACUCUGCUUCGUGGGAGAUCUCCACCGACCUAAAGGAUGAAUCUAAACCAUACAAUCUAUGUCGGUUUGAUCCAAUGGCCCAUAUUCACUUGGAGGGACUAUAAACCAGACCCCCUGGCCCCUGGAGGAGAGAGCCUCUCAACCCUAAUUCAUUGUUCCUCAGGGGAGAAGAAGCCUCUGAUCAAGAUUAGAGCCAUCACAUCAAUUAGAUAUCUAGAUUAGCAUAGCUACAUAGGAUUAGAACUAGAAGGAGUCAAUCUUCGAUUGGUUUCUGGAUCUGUCAAGAGGAUUCUUGGUAAUUCUCUAAUUGUGCUUCUAAUUACUUUCUAAUUAUCUUUGUUCUUCAAUAUUAUGAAUAUGACUUUGUUCUACUUCAAUAUAUUGCUUAUGACUUUGCUCUAUUUGCUUAUAUUCAAGAUUAUAUUGUUCUUAGUUUAUUAUAGUUAUGUACUUGGCUUAGUUAGAUUCGAUCUAUAUACAUGCUUAGGAUCGUAUAGCGUUUAUCCAUCGGAUCCAUGGGUAAAUGAUAGAUAUUGUGUAGGCGUGGUGCUUAUACCGUAUUUAUCUGCGAUUGUACCCAAUAUGCCAGAUCGUGAGGUGGUUCGUGAUAGUGACAGCUUCAUUGAUUCUUAUAUAGUUCCCCUCUCGUGUAUUGGGCUGGCAGAGCAACAUUAUUACAGGGGAGUGAUUGCUAUGUUUCUCAUUUACUUUGCUAAUAUCACUAUGCAUGGGCGUAGUCUUGUCUUGCAAUGAUUCCUAAGUAUGCUUGCACUAACUAUGAUAAUGCUAGACUAUAUAGUUGAGAACAACUUAGGGAAUAUUCUUGUAGUUCGUUCUAAUACCAUGCUAAUGACUUUCUAGAGUAUCUAAUUGAGGUGCUUAUCAUAUUUAUUAUGUGGCUAGAUCAGAUUAAUUAUUUUUGUCACUAUUAUUAUUUCAUAUAUCCUUUAUGUGACACUUAUCCCUGUAUGAAGAGUUAGAUAUAAUAUUCUCAAUUAUACAUGCAAUGAUAGAUGCUCAAUCUCAUAUUCUAUUCUGUAAUCAAUAGUGAUGAUUGCUAAUCCCUUCGCAGUGGUAAAAAUAUAAAUAACGAUACCUGGAAUACUUGCCGGUUAAAAUGCUACAUCGGUAUUAAUCUGUGCGCUUGCAGAUCCCAUUCAUUAUUUAUUUAGAAGAGCAAUUGCAUAUUUCAAUACCGCGUCUCUUAUAUCAUGCUGGGGAUGACAACUUGGCUUAAGUGGUGUGAGGGAUAGGUUUGGUAUUUUUGGCACCGUUACUAGAUUUAGAGAACUUAGUCUACUUUUGGUAAUGAUGUUAAGAAUACCCAACAAGCAUUUUUGGCGCCGUUGCCGGGGAAGGUUGAUUAAUAAUCAGGAAUGGAAUAAAAGAUUUUGAGUUAUCAUUCGCAUCACUAAUAUGAUUGAGCUUAUCUAUUCUCUCAUACAGUUUUACCCCGAUAUUUUUCUAUUUUAUCUUAUGCAGGGGAAUGUAUGAAUAGAAGACAUCUUCCAGGAAAUUUUGUUGACAAUCCCGAAGCAUUAUUCAAGAAGACGAGAGCAAAGCUCAAGAAGAGAUCAUCAACACUUCAGCAAGAAGCUUCAUCCAAUCAAGAAGAUCAUCGGAACUUGUCUUCAGAGUUCGAGGCCAUGGCGAACAAAUCAAUCCGCGAGUUCUCAGCUCCCACUACGGACAACAUCCGCACUGGACCUGCUGCAGAGAUCGAUGGCAACUUUGAGCUCAAGCCUGGACUUAUCAACAUGGUGCAAUCCAACCAGUUCUGUGGGAAGGCACAUGAAGAUGCUAGUGCUCAUUUACAACACUUCCUGGAGAUUUGCAACACAUUCACCAUAUCAGGAGUUUCCAAAGAUGCUAUACUACUUCGCCUCUUCCCAUUCUCACUGUUAGGAAGAGCGAAGCAGUGGUUCUACGCUACAAAGGAGAAGAAUACUACGUGGGCACUCUGCUCAACAAACUUCCUGGCAAAGUUCUUUCCCAUGGGCAAGACCAAUGCUCUCCGUGGGAAGAUUACAAGUUUUCAGCAACAAAAUGAUGAAUCCGUUCCAGAAGCAUGGGAGCGCUUUCAAGACUACAUCCUAGAAUGUCCCCAUCAUGGAAUGGAGAGUUGGCUAUUGAUGUAGACGUUUUAUCAUGGGCUCAGCAACAGUGCCCGAGAGACCAUGGAUGCUGCAGCUGGAGGAGCAUUCUUAUCACUUACCAUAUCACAAGCCACAGCUCUUGUGGAAAAGAUGGCGUCCAAUCAAAGCUGGAAUGAAGAGAGGACCCAAACAUGAAAGAGAGGUGGAGGUAUGGAUCAGCUGAAGGAGGUAGACAUGCUGUCUGCAAAGCUAGACCUGCUCAUGAUGAAGCUCGACGAUAGAGCUGGAGACAAGAAAGAAGUUAUGCACAUCUACGACUCUCACAUGACUUGUGAGGAGUGUGGAGACACUGGACACUCAGGCAACCACUGCCUCGAGAUACUUGAGGAUGUGAACUACAUCAACAACAACAACAACAACUACUACAACCGUCCUCAACAAAAUCAAGGUUGGAAUCAACAGAGGCCUAACUACUCAGGUAAUUAUCAAGGUAACAAUUCUUACAACAAUAAUAAUAAUUUUCCACCUUUGAGAGAUUUAGUGUCUAAUCAAGGAAAGAUAAUGGAUAACCUAUCUAAGAAAUUGGCAUCUAAUGAUAAAAUGCUAGAAAAUAUAAAUAAUAGAAUGGAUAAUUUCUCUACUGCCAUCAAGAAUCAAAUUAGCUUUAAUAAAAUGAUUGAAUCUCAGUUAAAUCAAAUAGCUGCUGCUGUUCCUACUACUAACCCUGGUAUACCAUCACAACCGGAAGGAUUAGAAUCUGCAAAUCUUGUAGACAUGUUUGAUGCAGGUAAUAAUUGGAGUAACCCCGUCACUGAAUUCUCUACUGACCUUCUGCCGGUCAAGAGAGGCGAUCCAGGACGCCCCGUCAUCCCGAUCUCCAUCGGCAUGGUGGACGUUCCAGAAGCACUCUGCGACUUUGGCUCUAGUGUCAACAUUAUACCUAGGGUACUCUAUGAAAAAUUCUUUACAUAUCCUUUAUUAGAAAUAACCAUGUGUUUGCAGUUUGCAGAUCAUACGAUAACUUUUCCAAAAGGAAUAGUAAAGAACCUUUGCGUCCGAGUUGGUACCUUAUAUGCCCCAGCAGACUUCGUAGUGAUAGAGACCGGAAAUGAUGAGAGAGCACCUAUCAUCCUAGGGAGGCCAUUCUUGAACACCACGGGAGCUAUCAUCUACGCUAGUGCUGCCAAGAUCAGUUUCUACAUCAAAGGGAGGAAGGAGACAUUUUUCUUCAAGAACAAGACUACACAAAUUCUAGAUCAAUCCAGACGUAAAUCAAGGAAGAGGACCAACAGGAGGAACAGGAACAAGCAAGUGUGGACCGAGUCAGCUAAGAUGGUCACUGUAGUUCAUGGAGGCCAAGAUCACCAACUUAAGUCACCGUUUUUGACCAAGAAGGACGACCCAGGAAUGCCAAGCAUCUACUGCUCCAUAAAUGGAUACAACUUCUACAAGACGAGUUGCGACACCGGAUCGGGCGUCAACAUAAUGGCCGCAGUCACCUAUCGGCUCUUGUUUGGGACCAUGCCACUAAGACCAACAUACAUUCAGCUCCAGAUGCAGAUUAGACAUUUCGAGAAGUUAAAGGAAUAGUAACUGAUGUCCCAGUCAAAAUAGACGAUCAUUUUGUCUACACAGACUUUCAAGUUAUUGACAUGGGAGAAGAUGAGUAUGAUCCACCCAUCAUCCUUGGAAGACCAUUCCUCAGCACCGUUAAAGCAAUUAUCUACAUUGGAACCGAAGAAGUCCAUAUGCACUUCCCCUCAGAGAAGGUACGCCGUUAUUUUACUGACCCUAACUAUAUCGUUGAAGAAUCUAAGAAGGUCAGAAAGAGACGCAACCGCAACUAGAGGAGGCAGAUCAUCAGGGACGGAUGGGCAGACUAUGAAGGAGAAGUUGUAAGGUCAGAAGACGUAGAGUUUAAAUAGAAUUAUCCAGAGGAGACGGAAGCACCAAGUCAGGUGUGGAAAAUGAAGAUAACUAUACAAGAAGAGGAGGCGCUGCCGGAAAUACCGACUUCGCCACCCAACGAACCUCAGGACUAUUAAGAAAAUUGAGAGUCCCGUUCGGAGGACUUAAAAAACACCGAACGCCUUGCCAAGAGGUAACUUGGUAGUUAUCAUUUCCCUUUCAAUUAUUUCAAAUAGUUUAUUUAGUUAAUCAUGUUCAUGCUACCUUAAAAAGAAAAUAAAAAAAAUGUGUGAAAAACAGUAAGCCCCAUGUGAGUAUACGAGUGGCAUAAAACCCAUAAGUACAUUCACUGUGGUGGCAUAAAAAUAAAAUAAUUAUUUUUCUGCUCUAUAAAAAUAAAAAUAUAAAAACAGGGAGUAAUAUUUAUUAAGUAGUCUCAACAUGAUAAAGGCUAGAUAUUUAUGCUAACACUUAAUCAGUUCCACAAGCUUUGUUGUCUAUUUGAGCUCCACAGAAUUUAAGAAUCAAGAAGACUGGCAGACGGAGGACAUUCUAAUCGCUGUCAGAAUGCUGCUGACUUUCAAAUACACCUCUACCACCUGCUAGCUACAUCAAGAGAAAUUACAUCAAAAUUCAGCUUGGGGGAGAGCACCCCCAUUUAUCUCGAUAAGUAUUUCUAUCUAUCUUUAUACUUAUAUUAUUUUAGAAUAUAAAUACACGUAAACUAUGGAAAACCAAAUAAAGAGUUUGUGCUUAUAUAUAUAUAUGUCUUUUGCUUAGUGUGUUUAAUAAAUAAAUAAAGUGGCUAUGCUAAUCUGUAUCUAAAUAAAACUUAAGCAUGGAUAUGAUGAAUAGUUGCUCUGCCUAAUUUGCACAUUUUAAGUUCUCUCUCAAGUUUAGACAUAAGUGUUAUAAUUUAAAACUUGCUCUAGACCUAAACUUGUGGGAUGAAAACUUGAUCUAAAGUCUAAGUUGUUAACGGAUACGAUAUGGGAAGGUUGAGCUGCUGUUUAUCUGUUCCUAGAGAUGCUAGAAUUCUGGAGAAUUUUAUCUUUGAAAAUCUUUAAAAUGUUGCAUGAUGAGUUCCUGUAUGAUGAGAGUUUAAAUUCCUACCACAGCCAUAUAUACAUGCUUGCUAGACUUGGAGCCACACAUUUAAUAUUUACUACUUAUGAGCAUUGAGUGUGGUCAAGCUGUGUAGACCCUUAGGAGCUUGUCAUGUGGUUAAAUCAAGAUUCACUUGCACGUUCACUCAUAUAUGCUA
rnacentral:lncRNA from 1 species